rnacentral:lncRNA from 13 species
CUCCUUUUGCCUUGCUGCUGUGGCUGUGCUGACCUGGCCCCUCUCUAUGUGAUGGUGAUGGUUAAUUUUAUGUGUCAACUUGACUGGGCCAUGGGUUACCCGGAGAGUUGGUCAGCAUUAUUCUGUAUGUGUCUGUGAGGGUGUUUUUGGAUGAGAUGAACAUGUGGACGUACAGGCUGAGUGAAGCAGAUGGUCCUUUCUAAUGUGGGUGGGCCUCAUCCCAUCAGUUGAAGCUCUGAAUAGAACAAAAGGCUGAUCCUGCCUUAAGGAAGAGAGGCUUCCCCGGGCCUGUCAGCCAUUGUCUCUUUUACUGCCUUUGGACUUCAGUCUCUCCACCAAAGAUUCACCCACUUGCCUUCGAGCACGGACUUGUCGAAUGUUCUUCACUGAAGAUUAUUUGACCAGAUUAACCUUCAGUGGCAGACAGUAAAAAAGACCUUCAAUGACCAGCUGUGAGACUGGAGGCUGGAUGUCUCUCUAAUGAACUCCGGCUCGUGCAGGAGAGAGAACACUUUAAAAACCAAAGCAGGUGAAGGUCCAGGAAUGAUGACAGAAUAGAAGACGCCU